rnacentral:rRNA from 1 species
UACGGAGGGGGCUAGCGUUGUUCGGAAUUACUGGGCGUAAAGCGUACGUAGGCGGCUUUGUAAGUUAGAGGUGAAAGCCUGGUGCUCAACACCAGAACUGCCUUUAAGACUGCAUCGCUUGAACGUCGGAGAGGUGAGUGGAAUUCCGAGUGUAGAGGUGAAAUUCGUAGAUAUUCGGAAGAACACCAGUGGCGAAGGCGGCUCACUGGACGACUGUUGACGCUGAGGUACGAAAGCGUGGGGAGCAAACA